AGCUGCACACUUCUGUUUUCUGUCCUGUAGACGCUGAAACUGAAGAGACGGAGAAGACGAAGAAAAGAUAAAGAAAAGCUGCAGAGGAAGGACUCACGUGCACUCGUCCCGUCCUGAGAUUCAGACCCACACAUGCUGUUUCGGGAGAGAGACCUCAGUCACGUCAGCUCCGUGACAUCGAGGCGACCGCCACGCCGCUGCAAACGGGUGAUGACGGAUGCCUUUUUGUCUCGUGCAGUCAGGCCGGAUCGUCGGGCCCGCGGACGGCUGUAAUUGCACCGACAGGUGACACAUAUGUGGAAACCAGAAGAUGAUGUGGGAGACGACUCGGAUCAUGUGACCUGCACCUCAGAUGCCUCCUCGGA